rnacentral:sRNA from 1 species
GCGCCCGCGGGAAACCCCGGCCCGUUGCCUCCGCUAGGUGCAGCCGUGGGGAUGGCAGGUUCGGGGAGGCUGGUCCUACGGCCCUGGAUUCGGGAGCUGAUUCUGGGGUCAGAGACACUCUCCAGUCCACGAGCCGGGCAGCUGCUCGAGGUGAGCCCCAACUCAGGGCCCGGAGACCGAGGCGGAGGCCCGGGGUGGUGGGAUUGACGCCGCUCGCCGCCGUCAGGUACUACAGGAGGCCGAGGCCGCGGCCGCGGGCCCAUCUCACGCCCCUGAUACGUCCGACGUCGGGGCCACGCUGCUUGUGUCUGACGGGACCCACAGUGUCCGAUGCCUGGUGACGCGGGAGGCCCUGGACACUUCGGACUGGUGAGAGGCCCCGCGCGGCUCCGGAGGGAGGAGAAGGAGUUCGGCUUCCGCGGGACAGAGGGCCGGCUGCUGCUGCUGCAGGACUGCGGGGUCCAUGUCCAGGUCGCUGAGGGCGGCGCGGUGAGUGGUGAGACUGCUUUGGGCGGGUUACCGGGCAUGACUUCGUGACGAUUCCUGAGACCUCCCCUUCCCGCCGAACUCCUCCAGCCCGCAGAGUUCUACCUCCAGGUGGACCGCUUCAGCCUGCUGCCCACGGAGCAGCCCCGGCUACGGGUGCCUGGUUGGUAAGUGAUGCCUCCGCCCUCCAGCAGCUCUCCCCACCCCAGCCUGGCCGGCGCUGGCAGACGCUUUUGGGGUAGGAGGGCUUGGGCCCCCAUUAACUACCCUUCUCUUUUUCUUAGCAACCAAGACUUGGAUGUUCAGAAAAAGCUCUAUGACUGCCUUGAGUGAGUCUGGGGUUUGGCUCGGGGGCCACGUGUGGUUUGGUGAGGGGAUGGUGUAUCUAGGUAGACAGACCUCAGCGUGGUUCCUGAGUCCUGGCCACUCUCUUCCUGUAGGGAGCACCUUUCAGAGUCCACCUCGUCCAACGCAGGUACUGUAGGGCUUGACCAGUGAUCCUAACACCCUGUGCAGUGACCUCUUCAGCAUUAACCUUCCGCUUCCUCAAUAAUCUCUCUUCCCCCUCACCCUCCGGCUCCUCCCCUUUAAGCCUUGACUCAUCCUGUGGUCCCCUGUCCCCAGGCCUAUCACUGUCCCAGCUUCUGGAUGAAAUGCGGGAGGACCAGGAGCAUCAGGGGGCACUCGUGUGCCUGGCUGAAAGCUGCCUGACACUGGAGGGCCCUUGUACAGCACCCCCCGUCACCCACUGGGCUGCCUCACGAUGCAAGGCCACGGUCGGUCUGGGGAUUUUCUUGGGAGAUGUCAGGGUGAGGAGUUGGGCAAGGGUCAUGUCCCACAGGACAUGAGAGUAAACGGGCCUGUCCUACAGAGUUCAUGUCCCACAGGGAGAAGCUGUGUACACUGUCCCCAGCUCAAUGCUGUGCAUCUCUGAGAAUGACCAGCUAAUUCUGAGCUCUCUAGGCCCCUGUCAGAGGACACAGGGUAAGGGGGACUGGAGAGGUUGGGGGGAUACCUGGGGCCCAGGUCCACAGUGCUGAUAAGACUUCCUGAACCCCCCAGGCCCUGAGCUGCCCCCACCAGACCCGGCUCUGCAGGACCUAUCUCUGACCCUCAUAGCCUCUCCUCCUUCCUCACCCAGUUCCUCAGGUGAGGUGACGCACAGGUCACAGGCACUCACUGCCGUCUGUCAGUCAGGUUCCCGGGCUGCACAGGAUGCUGUGAAAGGUGCACGGCGGGUGGGGGAUGAACACGGUCCCUGCAGUCCUGUCUGAGCUCGCAGGCCACUCAGCUGCCCUGAGCGGAGAGGGCUGUGCCUACAAUAAGUCCCCUCCUCCUCAGGAACCCCGGCCUUACCCGGCCACAUGUCAUCUGAGGAAAGUGGUACCAGCAUCAGCCUUCUGCCUGCCCUGUCCUUGGCUGCUCCAGACCCAGGGCAGAGGAGCAGCUCCCAGCCCCCACCAGCCAUCUGCUCAGCCCCUGCCCCCCUGACCCCCAGGUCCCCACACGCCAGCCGUACCCCCAGCUCCCCACUCCAGAGCUGCACUCCCAGUCUCUCACCCCGUAGCCAUGUCCCCAGUCCACACCAGACUCUUGCGACCAGGCCCCAGAAACCUAGCCUGGAGUUCAAGGAGUUUGUAGGGUUGCCCUGCAAGAAUCGGCCGCCUUUUCCCAGGACCGGAGCUACCGAGGGAGCCCAGGAGCCCUGCUCUGUCUGGGAACCCCCAAAGAGGCAUCGUGAUGGUUCUGCCUUCCAGUAUGAGUAUGAGCCACCCUGCACGUCCCUCUGUGCUCGGGUCCAAGCUGCCAGGUGAGUGCCUGGGUCUGCCCCCACUCUUGGUCACUAGUCCCAGGCUCCAUUGACCUGCAGCAGUGGUUUCUUUCCAGGCUUCCUCCCCAGCUCAUGGCCUGGGCCUUGCACUUUCUGAUGGAUCCACAGCCAGAGUCUCAGCCAACUCCGACGUGAGACGUCACGCAGGACAGAUACUGCUCCACACUCUGCUUCCUUUGAGUUUUUUAAUAAAAUAAUCUCAUGCGGC